GACGAACGCUGGCGGCGUGCUUAACACAUGCAAGUCGAACGGUGAAGCGCCUUCCUUUUUGGUGGGUGUGGAUGAGUGGCGAACGGGUGAGUAACACGUGGGUAACCUGCCCCCUUCUUCUGGAUAACCGCAUGAAAGUGUGGCUAAUACGGGAUAUUCUGGGUCUGUCGCAUGAUGGGUCUGGGCAAGAUAUUGUUUCGGUGGGGGAUGGGCUCGCGGCCUAUCAGCUUGUUGGUGGGGUGAUGGCCUACCAAGGCGGUGACGGGUAGCCGGCCUGAGAGGGUGGACGGUCACACAGGGACUGAGACACGGCGCCGACUCCUACGGGAGGCAGCAGUGGGGAAUAUUGCACAAUGGGCGCAAGGCUGAUGCAGCGCCGCCGCGUGAGGGAUGGAGGCCUUCGGGUUGAGAACCUCUUUCGCCAGUGAAGCAGGCCUGCCUCGUUUGUGGGUGGGUUGACGGUAGCUGGAUAAGAAGCGCCGGCUAACUACGUG
rnacentral:rRNA from 1 species